UUAAUUCUUUGAAUCAACAGCUCUCUCUUUAUCUCACUUAUUUCACACACGUGCAAAGAUCACUCACGCACCCAGAAAGUCAAGAUGGAGCGUUCCGAGCGUUUGUUUUCGACUGUCUUCAUCCUCCUCCUCCUUCUGGUGGCUAUUGGAACGGAUCCAAUGGUUGCUGAGGGGAAGACAAAAGAGAAGUCAUCGAAGAAUGAGAAGUCGUCGAAGACAUGUGAGUCUCCAAGCCAUAAAUACCACGGUAUUUGCUUCAGGUCAAGCAAUUGUGCAACUACAUGCAAAAAAGAGGGAUUUAUGGGAGGCAAAUGUACUGGCUUCUGGAUGAGAUGUGUAUGCACUAAAAAAUGUUAAGUCAUACAAAAACUAACAUGCGUAUUUGGAUGCAUGCGUGCAUGGGAACAAAUGACCUUUUGUUUUGUUUUGUUUGUUUGAAAGAGAAUAAAUGACUGAACCCUAAUCCACCAUGGGGAUUUUUGUCCUUGUCUUGUUUUUUGUGCGUU